rnacentral:rRNA from 1 species
AGCGAACGUUAGCGGCGCGCCUAACACAUGCAAGUCGCACGAGAAACGGAGCAAUCCGCGGUACAGUGGCGCACGGGUGAGUAACACGUGGAUGACCUUCCCUGGAAGUGGUGGAUAACCUGCCGAAAGGCGGGCUAAUACAGCAUGGGACCACGACGCUUUGGCGAUGUGGUGAAAGCGGGCCUCUAUAUAUAAGCUCGCGCUCCGGGACGGUCCGCGUCCCAUCAGCUAGUUGGUGAGGUAACGGCUCACCAAGGCAACGACGGGUAGCUGGUCUGAGAGGAUGGCCAGCCACACUGGAACUGAGACACGGUCCAGACUCCUACGGAGGCAGCAGUGGGGAAUCUUGCGCAAUGGGCGAAAGCCUG